AAAUAGAGUUACAUAGAGGAUAAGCAACAUCGUUUCUUAGCAGUAAAGGUGUCCUUCUGGAGAGAUAGAGCGUGCCAUUAUUCUGGCUUGAUAUUAACAGGUCAGGCCAGGUGCGGUGGCUCACGCCUGUAAUCCCAGCACUUUGAGAGGCUGAGGCAGGUGGAUUACCUGAGUUCAGGAGUUCGAGACCUGCCUGGCCAACAUGGAGAAACGCCAUCUCUACUAAAAAUACAAAAUUAGCCGGGUGUGGUGGCGCAUGCCUGUAAUCCCAGCUACUCGGGAGGCUGAGACAAGAUAAUCGCUUGAACCCAGGAGGUGGAGGUUGCAGUGAGCUGAGAUCCUGCGCUGCACUCCAGCCUGGGCAACAAGAGUGAAACUCCAUCUCAAAAAA
rnacentral:lncRNA from 10 species